GUCCACGCCGUAAACGAUGCGCGCUAGAUCGGGGCGGCUCUGACGCCGGCUCGGUCGAAGUAAAACGCUAAGCGCGCCGCCUGGGGAGUACGGUCGCAAGGCUAAAACUCAAAGGAAUUGACGGGGCGUCACACAAGCGGUGGAGCAUGUUGCUUAAUUCGAGGCAACGCGAAGAACCUUACCUGGGUUUGUACAUGACUGGAUUAACUCCUGGAAACAGGAGCCACGCCCGCAAGGGUGGAACAGUCACAGGUGCUGCAUGGCUGUCGU
rnacentral:rRNA from 1 species